AAAUCGUUGGAAGAUUUUGUGGCUUUACGGUAAUUCAAAAUUUUCUAUUACUAGAUUUCUGGUGAUGUAGAUUACGAUGAUAAUACUUUUCAGAUUGUGUAGAUUACGAUUAUAUACGAAUUUACGAAUUAUUUGUGUAAAACUCGGAGACGGUGGGAUAUGGAAGAGUUUCGAAUAAUUCACGCCCCUGUCUUGUUUCCUUAUAAUUUACUGAGUGGGAGGGGGGGGCUCGGAAAAUUCCCAGGAUCAACCUGGAAACUAAAAUGUGUAACAGUUGUAAGGCAUCGUAUAUUGACGGAAUAAGACGGAAAAAAAGGGCGCUGACGAACGGGGGUGGGGGUGGGGGGCUCGGAAAAUUCCCAGGAUCAACCGUAGAGGAUCCACGCCCAGGUGGCAAAAAUGGAAAAAAAUAUGUGUAACAGGUGUAAGGCAUCGUAUAUUGAAGGAAUAUGACGAAAAAAAAGCGAGUUGACAAACGGGGGGGGGGAGGGGCUCGGAAAAUUGCCUACGAUUUAAAGAAAAAUUUACCAUCAAUUUUCACCAUUUUUAACGCAUUUUUGGCAUAAGGGAAGUAACUCUCUAAAAAUCUCUAUAUAUAAACGGCAGUUUUUCUGUGUGUCUGUCAGGUUGUACCCUCACCCUGACCACGGCUUUCAACCGAUUCUGAUGAAACUUGACACACACAUAGCCCAAUGUCAUAAUUCAAAACUAACGCAGCGAAAAUUUUGAAAAGUUCCCCCAGUUCUGAAAAAAUCGAUAAAUUCGACAUGGGGUCGAGAAUCAGAAACACAAACCACAGACUGUCUAGGGGACGCAACUCCACCCUUUUAACUCUCAAAAAUAAAUUUACCAUAAUUUUUUUUCAAUUUUUUUGCUAUUUUCAAUAUUUUUCAAUAUUUUUGCUAAAAAUGCUUUAUAGUUAUUUCCCUUACAAACCCGAGCAACGCCGGGCGAUACUGCUAGUCUAUAUAUAUAUUUUUUUUUAAUUUUACAAACAAAAAGUGAAAACUGAAGUAAUGGAAUUUGAAUUUUUGAAGUUGCGAUUGAUAAUUAUUCUGUGACAAUCAAUAAUAUUUGAAAACUGAAGUAAUGGAAUUUGAAUUUUUGAAGUUGCGAUUGAUAAUUAUUCUGUGACAAUCAAUAAUAUUUGAAAACUGAAGUAAUGGAAUUUGAAUUUUUGAAGUUGCGAUUGAUAAUUAUUCUGUGACAAUCAAUAAUAUUUGAAAACUGAAGUAAUGGAAUUUGAAUUUUUGAAGUUGAAAACGAAGUUGAUAAUUAUUCUGUGACAAUCAAUAAUAUUUGAAAACUGAAGUAAUGGAAUUUGAAUUUUUGAAGUUGCGAUUGAUAAUUAUUCUGUGACAAUCAAUAAUAUUUGAAAACUGAAGUAAUGGAAUUUGAAUUUUUGAAGUUGCGAUUGAUAAUUAUUCUGUGACAAUCAAUAAUAUUGGGAAAAUAUAAUCUGUACUUACCACAUGCGUGGUAGAUUUGCUGAUUAUUUUCAACAAAUCUACCACGCUUCUAUUUCAAAUUCUUUAACGUUGUCAGUUAUCGUAGGCAAUUUUCCGAGCCCUCCCCCCCCGUUUGUCAGCGCGCUUUUUUUUCGUCAUAUUCCUCUUACACGUAUUUUUUUUCAUUUUUGCCACCUGGGCGUGGAUCCUCUACGGUUGAUCCUGGGAAUUUUCCGUAAGACAAUCCUCAGAAACAGGAAUAUAGACUUGAGAAUCAAGACACAUCCCUGUGUAACGACACCCGAAAAAUUGGCAUCUUUUUGGUUUGAACGGCAGUUUUUUCUAGCGGUGUCAUAUGAAAUUGUCACCCAUAAUUAUGACCCUAGUAUCGAUCUAUUGCAUUUCAAUCUGUUUUAGGGGUGGGGGAAAGGGUAUCUUUUUUUCUUCACAAAUGUAAAUAAACCCAAUCUGUUUCUUAAACGAGGAACAUAUUCAUACGCCACAGAAUGUUUUCCCCUCAAUAGACGUCAGUGAUUGGUUGAAAUUGCAGAAAUUGAAGAAAACAACAACAAAUAUCUUAGAAACCAUAGAAUUUUCUCAAUAAAGGGACUAAAGCCAUCUGAAUAUGGCUAGGGACAGGGCAGGGUGGUGGGGGUGUUACUGUUGCAUUUAGCCCCAGGCGAACAUCGACGUCACCAGAAAGGCUCGACACCGUCACGGUGCCCUAAACCUCACCGUGACGGUGUCGAGCCUUUCUGGUGACGUCGAUGUUCGCCUGGGGCUAAAUGCAACAGUAACACCCCCACCACCCUGCCCUGUCCCUAGCCAUAUUCAGAUGGCUUUCGUCCCUUAUGUUAUCGAGCAGUUACUGUCUAUAUCCCUUUUAGAGAAUUAUUAUUGCUUUCUCAAUAAAGCCAAGACAAAAAGAUGUUUUAUAAACACAUUCUACCAGUAUACGAAGUUUAAAAGUGUUUAGUUACGUGGAAAUUAUUUUAAAAAACUGCCAUUCAAACCGAAAAGAUCCCAACUUUUGUAGAAUUCAAGUGCUUUUAGGAUACCAUAGAUAUGCAAGUACCAAAUCCAAUUUGUGACCAUCACUCCAUCUCAGCAGGGGUUCUUGUUAACUGUUUUGCAUAUAUCAUCAUCAUCAUUUAAUGUUAUCUUCCAUGCUAGCGUGUGUUUGAUCGGUUGAAAGAAGCUGGUAAGACAGAGGACUUUAUCAAGCAUGACUGUCUGCUUUGGCAGGGUUUCUACAGCUGGGAACCCUUCCUAAUGCCAACCGCUUUACAGAGUUGAGUGGGUGCUUUUUACAUGGCAUCAGCACAUAUAUACUUGGGCAAGUGUCUUCUACUAUAGCUUCGGGUCGACCAAAGCUUGUGAGUGGAUUUGGUAGAUGGAAACUGAAAGAAGCCCGUCGUAUAUAUACAUAGAUGUAUGUGUGUGUGUCUGUGUUUGUCUCCUUAGCAUUGCUUGACAACCGAUGCUGGUGUGUUUAUGUCCCAAUAUCUGCCUCAAUAUAUUCCAUCUAUUAUUCCAUUAAAGCAUGGAAAAGUAGAUGUUAAAACGAUGACAAUGAUGAUGGUCCUCUUCUGCUUUUGAAGCAAGUGGUCUUGUGUUCAUCCCUAUUAUGUGGUAUCUGGACCAAAUGUCUUCUAAUAUAACCCUGGGCCAACUAAAGCAUUGUGAGGGGAUUUGCUACAUGGAAAGUGUAUCAUUUACGGAAUUAUGUGUAUGUGUGUAUCUGUCUCUGUGUUUGACCCCCUUUGCAGCCAUAAAGCAUUUGACUAUGAGCGUUAGUUUGCUUAUAUCCUUGUGACUAAGUGAUUGGGCAAAUGUGACUGGUGGAAUAGGAGUAGCUGUGUGGUAAGUAGCUUGUUUACCAACCACAUGGUUCCGGGUUCAGUCCCACUGCGUGGCACUUUGGGCAAGUGUCUUCUGCUAUAGCCUCGGGCCGACCAAUGCCUUGUGAGUGGAUUUGGUAGAAGGAAACUGAAAGAAGCCUGUCGUAUAUAUAUAUAUAUAUGUAUGUGUGUUUGUGUUUGUCCCCCUAGCAUUGCUUGACAACCGAUGCUGGUGUGUUUAUGUCCCCGUUACUUAGCGGUUCAGCAAAAGAGGCCAAUAGAAUAAGUCCCGGGGUCGAGUUGCUCGAUUAAAGGCGGUGCUCCAGCAUGGCCGCAGUCAAAUGACUGAAACAAGUAAAAGAAAAAAAAUACUGGAGUUGAUACAUUUGACCGAUCCAUUCAAAGAAGUACUCCAGCAUGGCCACGGUCUACUUGGUGAAACAGUAACUGACACUUUGUUUUAGUUUUUUCGAUCAACUGAAAAGCCUGCUCAUGGAAUUAACAUGCAAAUGGCUGAGUAUUCCACAGACAUGGGGACCCUUGAUAUAGUCUUCAGGGAGGCACAGCAUGACACAGAUGGUGAGAAGACUGGCCCUUUGAAUUACAGGUGAAACUCAUUUUUGACACCUGAGUGAACUGAUGCAAAGUGAAAUAAAAUGGCUUGGAGACUCAUUGCACCACUGUGUAUCAAACUCACAACUUUAUAAUUGUGAGUGAAAUACCCUAACCACUAAGCCAUGCCACUUCACAGGUGAAACAAGUGAAAGGAGAGAAGAGAAAGAAAACAGAUAAAUAAUUAGAGAAAUGUGGAAGCGAUUCAUCUAUAUACAGAAUGUUGUAAAAGUUUCAAUGCCUCAAUGGAUUCUGACCCAUGCAAACGUAGAUAUUAAAUGGAUGACAGUGUUGAUGUUGUAAGAUUUGCAAUGUUGAAUUACUAUGUCGUUUAACGAUUCUCUUUAUCUCACUGCUUCUUUUUCUAUUUCAGAAUAUCACUUCAUGUUGACGUUUCUUCAUUCAGAUGUACCUUUGAUAUUUUGAUUGACUUUCAUCAAUUAAAGGAAGACCAUAUAUUCAUAAGGCACAUUCAUCAAUACAUCAAGUUCUUUGUAUAAAUGAAAUCUUCAACAAAUGAUGGGAAAAAAUUUCUUCUGGACAAUGUAAUUAACAGCAACAUUUACUGGUCUUCGUUAUCUGGAAUGUAGAGGAGAUGAUUCCUUUAAAGGUU
rnacentral:lncRNA from 1 species